rnacentral:rRNA from 1 species
GCGGACCGACGGGAGCUUGCUCCCUUAGGUCAGCGGCGGACGGGUGAGUAACACGUGGGUAACCCGCCUGUAAGACUGGGAUAACUCCGGGAAACCGGGGCUAAUACCGGAUGCUUGAUUGAACCGCAUGGUUCAAUCAUAAAAGGUGGCUUUUAGCUACCACUUGCAGAUGGACCCGCGGCGCAUUAGCUAGUUGGUGAGGUAACGGCUCACCAAGGCGACGAUGCGUAGCCGACCUGAGAGGGUGAUCGGCCACACUGGGACUGAGACACGGCCCAGACUCCUACGGGAGGCAGCAGUAGGGAAUCUUCCGCAAUGGACGAAAGUCUGACGGAGCAACGCCGCGUGAGUGAUGAAGGUUUUCGGAUCGUAAAACUCUGUUGUUAGGGAAGAACAAGUACCGUUCGAAUAGGGCGGUACCUUGACGGUACCUAACCAGAAAGCCACGGCUAACUACGUGCCAGCAGCCGCGGUAAUACGUAGGUGGCAAGCGUUGUCCGGAAUUAUUGGGCGUAAAGCGCGCGCAGGCGGUUUCUUAAGUCUGAUGUGAAAGCCCCCGGCUCAACCGGGGAGGGUCAUUGGAAACUGGGGAACUUGAGUGCAGAAGAGGAGAGUGGAAUUCCACGUGUAGCGGUG